AGUGAACGCUGGCGGUAGGCCUAACACAUGCAAGUCGAACGGCAGCACAGUAAGAGCUUGCUCUUACGGGUGGCGAGUGGCGGACGGGUGAGGAAUACAUCGGAAUCUACUUUUUCGUGGGGGAUAACGUAGGGAAACUUACGCUAAUACCGCAUACGACCUACGGGUGAAAGCAGGGGAUCUUCGGACCUUGCGCGAUUGAAUGAGCCGAUGUCGGAUUAGCUAGUUGGCGGGGUAAAGGCCCACCAAGGCGACGAUCCGUAGCUGGUCUGAGAGGAUGAGCAGCCACACUGGAACGGAGACACGGUCCAGACGCCUACGGGAGGCAGCAGGGGGGAAGAGUGGACAAUGGGCGCAAGCCUGAUCCAGACAUACCGAGUGGGGGAAGAAGGCCGUCGGGUUGUAAAGCCCGUUAGUUGGGAAAGAAAAGCAGCAGGUUAAUACCCCGCUGUUCUGACGGUACCCAAAGAAUAAGCACCGGCUAACUUCGUGC
rnacentral:rRNA from 1 species